rnacentral:snRNA from 1 species
UUUUACUUUUUACUUUUUG